rnacentral:rRNA from 1 species
UACAGAGGGUGCAAGCGUUUGUUCGGAAUUAUUGGGCGUAAAGCGCGUGUAGGCGGCUUUGCAAGUCGGGUGUGAAAGCCCUCAGCUCAACUGAGGAAGUGCGCCCGAAACUGCAGAGCUUGAGUACCGGAGAGGAUGGCGGAAUUCCCCAAGUAGAGGUGAAAUUCGUAGAUAUGGGGAGGAACACCGGUGGCGAAGGCGGCCAUCUGGACGGAUACUGACGCUGAGACGCGAAAGCGUGGGUAGCAAACAGG